AACGAACGCUGGCGGCAGGCUUAACACAUGCAAGUCGAGCGCCCCGCAAGGGGAGCGGCAGACGGGUGAGUAACGCGUGGGAAUCUACCGUACCCUACGGAACAACAGUUGGAAACGACUGCUAAUACCGUAUACGCCCUACGGGGGAAAGAUUUAUCGGGGUAUGAUGAGCCCGCGUUGGAUUAGCUAGUUGGUGGGGUAAAGGCCUACCAAGGCGACGAUCCAUAGCUGGUCUGAGAGGAUGAUCAGCCACAUUGGGACUGAGACACGGCCCAAACUCCUACGGGAGGCAGCAGUGGGGAAUAUUGGACAAUGGGCGCAAGCCUGAUCCAGCCAUGCCGCGUGAGUGAUGAAGGUCUUAGGAUUGUAAAGCUCUUUCACCGACGAAGAUAAUGACGGUAGUCGGAGAAGAAGCCCCGGCUAACUUCGUGCCAGCCGCCGCCGUAACAC
rnacentral:rRNA from 1 species